UAGGGAAUAUUGGACAAUGGGCGCAAGCCUGAUCCAGCCAUGCCGCGUGAGUGAAGAAGGCCCUCGGGUUGUAAAGCUCUUUUGUCCGGAAAGAAAAGCAUCGGGCUAAUACCCUGGUGUUCUGACGGUACCGGAAGAAUAAGCACCGGCUAACUUCGUGCCAGCAGCCGCGGUAAUACGAAGGGUGCAAGCGUUACUCGGAAUUACUGGGCGUAAAGCGUGCGUAGGUGGUUUGUUAAGUCUGAUGUGAAAGCCCUGGGCUCAACCUGGGAAUGGCAUUGGAAACUGGCGGACUCGAGUGCGGUAGAGGGGUGUGGAAUUCCCGGUGUAGCAGUGAAAUGCGUAGAGAUCGGGAGGAACACCAGUGGCGAAGGCGACACCCUGGACCAGCACUGACACUGAGGCACGAAAGCGUGGGGAGCAAACAGGAUUAGAUACCCUGGUAGUCCACGCCCUAAACGAUGCGAACUGGAUGUUGGGUGCAACUUGGCACUCAGUAUCGAAGCUAACGCGUUAAGUUCGCCGCCUGGGGAGUACGGUCGCAAGACUGAAACUUAAAUGAAUUGAC
rnacentral:rRNA from 1 species